GGAGGAGGAAAGACUCUGAGGUAGGAAUACAAGUCUUAGGACAUAACAGGAAGAAGCUAGAUGCCACCAGAAAACAAAACAAAACGUCAGACCAAAGAACUAAGCUGUUGGUUACCUAUUAAUAAUUGAAUCAGGCUAAACAGUAACUGUAAGCGCUGAACAUUUUUUUUUUUUAAAGCAAAAGAACCAAUACAAGGAUGGAAACAUGGCUGAGCUCUCCCAGCGUGAGGCACUGACCCGUCAGUAUAUUCUGUGUCGUUUCAGUCUUAGAAGCUGAUCAGUUUACCACACACACAAUUGGAAGCAGCCUGGAGGGUGGAAUUAGAGAGCUGGCACCCACAACAACAGGGAAAAAGAACACUUCACUGACAGCUGUUGUCCAGAUGCCUGGGAGAGGGCCAAGAUUGCAGAGACGAAUGUCACCAGGUCAGGAUCUGGAAACAAUCAGCUCUUAUGGUUUUAAGGAUGAAGCGUCAAGAUCUUAAGGAACCUUUAUUCCUGCCCUACAGGAAGCCCCAGUGAAGAGUCAGCCGGGCAGCCAGCCAGUCUGCCAGCCAGCCCGCGGCCGCUGCAGCCGCCGCCGCCGCCGCAGCACAAGGGCAGACGCGCCGCGGCGCGGGGCUCGGGCCGGGGCGCUCGGUGCCCUCGCUCCUCGCCGCGCCCGCCGCCGCGCAGGUAGGAGCGGGGCUGCGGCUGAGCUCACCAGCCGCCUGGGGAUGAGGCUGAUCGGGACCCAACCCGACCGCUGCGGGGAUGGGGUGUGCGCCCGAGAGCGGGGGGCGGAACGGCUGGGCGAAGUUGUGCCUCGUAGACUGGACCGUUGUCCGCUCCCCCGG
rnacentral:lncRNA from 1 species